GGCCCAGUGGCGGAUGGUCCGCGUCUGCUGAACUUAUCAAGUCUCUCGAACUCUACCGAGGUAUCAUGAUGCAGAAGACGCUCGUUCGAAUCGAGCCUGGGUCA